rnacentral:rRNA from 1 species
CCUACGGGAGGCAGCAGUGGGGAAUAUUGCACAAUGGGCGCAAGCCUGAUGCAGCCAUGCCGCGUGUGUGAAGAAGGCCUUCGGGUUGUAAAGCACUUUCAGCGGGGAGGAAGGCGUUAAGGUUAAUAACCUUGUCGAUUGACGUUACCCGCAGAAGAAGCACCGGCUAACUCCGUGCCAGCAGCCGCGGUAAUACGGAGGGUGCAAGCGUUAAUCGGAAUUACUGGGCGUAAAGCGCACGCAGGCGGUCUGUCAAGUCGGAUGUGAAAUCCCCGGGCUCAACCUGGGAACUGCAUUCGAAACUGGCAGGCUAGAGUCUUGUAGAGGGGGGUAGAAUUCCAGGUGUAGCGGUGAAAUGCGUAGAGAUCUGGAGGAAUACCGGUGGCGAAGGUGGCCCCCUGGACAAAGACUGACGCUCAGGUGCGAAAGCGCGGGGAGCAAACAGGAUUAGAUACCCUUGUAGUC